rnacentral:rRNA from 1 species
UCUAAUACCGGAUAAUACCUGCCUGGGCAUCUGGGUGGGUUGAAAGCUCCGGCGGUGAAGGAUGAGCCCGCGGCCUAUCAGCUUGUUGGUGAGGUAGUGGCUCACCAAGGCGACAACGGGUAGCCGGCCUGAGAGGGCGACCGGCCACACUGGGACUGAGACACGGCCCAGACUCCUACGGGAGGCAGCAGUGGGGAAUAUUGCACAAUGGGCGAAAGCCUGAUGCAGCGACGCCGCGUGAGGGAUGACGGCCUUCGGGUUGUAAACCUCUUUCAGCAGGGAAGAAGCGAGAGUGACGGUACCUGCAGAAGAAGCGCCGGCUAACUACGUGCCAGCAGCCGCGGUAAUACGUAGGGCGCAAGCGUUGUCCGGAAUUAUUGGGCGUAAAGAGCUCGUAGGCGGCUUGUCACGUCGGGUGUGAAAGCCCGGGGCUUAACCCCGGGUCUGCAUUCGAUACGGGCUAGCUAGAGUGUGGUAGGGGAGAUCGGAAUUCCUGGUGUAGCGGUGAAAUGCGCAGAUAUCAGGAGGAACACCGGUGGCGAAGGCGGAUCUCUGGGCCAUUACUGACGCUGAGGAGCGAAAGCGUGGGGAGCGAACAGGAUUAGAUACCCUGGUAGUCCACGCCUUAGACGGUG